UCAUAUCUCUGUAGUAGAACUAAAAUCACACACACUGACAGUGGCUGUGGUCUCUGAGUUUAGCCUGCAACACAAUAAUGAUCCCAGGUGUUUUGAUCAAGCUUACUGCAGCUCUGCUUUGUAUUGGAGAUCUAAGUGAUGGAAGUGAUGUCAAUCAAACCCCUCUGCUGUGGGUCAAUGAGAGUCAGCCUGCAACCAUGAGCUGCAAUCACACUAAAGAUAUUAAUCAUAACCAGAUGUACUGGUACCAGCAGCUGCCGGGACAAAACAUGAAGCAAAUAGUUUUCACUACAGCAUACAGCCACCAGUAUGAACAAGGCUUCAACAAAGAGAAAUUUCCAGCAGAGAAGAAGGAUGCUCAGACUGGAUCUCUGACAGUGAACAACUCUCAGCCUGAAGACAGUGGAGUGUAUUUCUGUGCUUUUAAACUCUGA